rnacentral:rRNA from 1 species
CCUACGGUAGGCAGCAGUGGGGAAUAUUGGGCAAUGGGGGGAACCCUGAUCCAGCUACGCCGCGUGAGUGAAGAAGUAUUUCGGUAUGUAAAGCUCUAUCCUCAGGGACGAAAGAAAUGACGGUACCUGACUAAUAAGCCCCGGCUAACUACGUGCCAGCCGCCGCGGUAAUACGUAGGGGGCAAGCGUUAUCCGGAUUUCAUGGGUGUAAAGGGAGCGUAGACGGGGAUGCAAGUCUGAAGUGAAAAGCCGGGGCCCAACCCUGGGCCUGCUUUGGAAACUGUAUGGCUGGAGUGCAGGAGAGGUAAGUGGAAGUCCGAGUGGAGCGGUGAAAUGCGUAGAUAUUCGGAGGAACACCAGUGGCGAAGGCGGAUUACUGGACAGUAACUGACGUUGAGGCGCGAAAGCGUGGGGAGCAAACAGGAUUAGAUACCCCAGUAGUC